CUUGAGGCAGUUUUCACUUUCUGUUAGUGGCUGUUGGAUGCUUUUUUCCGAAAUAUUCAGGUUUGAGUUGUUAACACACAAUCUCUCUUCAUCAAGUCCUGCGAUAUUAGACAAAUAAGAAAGAUUAUAACUAUAUGAAGGGCGAAGGAAGAUAAUGAACGAGAACUGGUAAAGGGAACUUUCCGAAUGCAUUACACAGCAUAACAUGAGAAGCUAUUUUCUUUUUGGGAAACAAAACUUGAAUCUAAAAUUAUAGUUAUACAUACUCACCAUUUGUUUUAUGUAAUGCGACUUCACCAGUUACGGAUCCUUCAUCUGCUGCCACAGGAACAGCUUCAUCUUGCAAUGAUUGCACAUCUUGGCAAUACUAUAAAUUCAUUCAACAAGGAUUAUAUUAGCUGCUUGUCACUGAAUUUUGGCGUGUUUUUUUUCUUUCUUUUGGGAAGAAAUCUUGUCACCAUUUAAUUUUUAUUUUGUUCUCAAUAUGUGAUAGUUUCAGAUGCUGGUAAAAAAGAGCUUACCAAAUCAUUGGGAACUAUUGCUACCAAUUCUUGUUGGCUUUGAAGUUCUCCACCAACAGAACUGGAUAAUGUAGGAGGCAGUUCAGCUUCUUUACAAGGUCUACUAGCAUCCUGAGGGACUCCUCCAAAUCAAUAGCUCCUUGUAAUAGUUCCUUUGCAAAUUGUAUUGAAUAUGAGUCCAUGUUAAGACCAUUGGAACAGGCUCUCAAUAUCUGGUUUAGUUUC